GUCCCAAAAAAAUGUUCUGCAAAAUGGAAGCACUCAUAUGAAAUUCUCAGUUAAACUGCAGACCUUCUUGGGUACUUGCAGAACAAAGGAAAGGAAAGAAAUUGAAAAGAUGCGAUGCAGGGAACAUUGAGCCUAAUUCUAAAAAUCUAACCAUUAUCAGGGUGUUGAACUAUCAGCACACAAGUAGGAACACAAAAUAGCUAUCCACCAUCUUCUUGAAGUUGAACACUUGCUCAGGUGAAUUAUGCAGUCUCACUCGAUAGUGGGGAUCGAUUGUUAGGAACCAGGAAGAAUGAAUUAGGAAAGAUGAUAUGCUGAGCUAGACUAUAUCAACCUCCUUUUGGAUUAUUCUCUUCCAAAAAACUUGUUCUCCUAAUUUAAAAUUGGAAAAAAAUCCAAAAAAUAGAAUUGUAUGUGCCAAAUUGAUAUGAAUUGUUGCCUUACAUGUACUUCAACAACGGGAUAAUAUUGAAAUGGUUUGUUUCUUACUGUGCUUAAUUACCUUUUUGAACGAUUCUGGAAAUAUCAUGGUGCUUACAAGUUAGAAUUGUUACUUUUGCACUCAUUGAUGAAUUUAAUAUCGUGCGCGCUAUGCAGUAGUGAAGUUGUUUCUCCUUUCUAUUGGCAGGUCUUUAAAGGACUCUUGCAUAAGUAUGGUCCUGACAGAGUCAUUGAUAUACCAAUUCUUGAGGUUGUUUUCAUUCAUCAUCAAUGUGCUAUAAUCUUACUUAAUUCCCUUCCAUUUUUAGUCACCGGCAUAUAAUCAAUUUGCAUCCUUUAUUUUAAUUCUCUUUUAGCCAUCAUGACACUUAGAUUUUUUAUUCUAGCAAUAUCUUGAAAUCUUUUCAGGUGCUCUGCCAUACAUUACAUUAUAACUGGUGAUGUAAUCUCAGGCACACGAAAAGAGAGCAAUUUGAUUGUUGCACCCUUUAAUGAUACGUUUGAUACUUUAGUUGUUCUCCUCAGCCGUACAUCUAGCUGACUAAAUUUGCUCACAGAGUGUUGAUUGGAAAAUUUUAAAGUAAAGUAUGAUAUUUUUUCCCUCUACAUAUCAAGAGAUUCUUUAUUCAGCUAUUUCACGGAACAUAGUAGGCAUGAACAUAAUAGGAGACCUACUGGCUUUGAAUUUGUUAUUGUAUGCAUAACUUAACUACUAAGGAGAAAAAGAGGAUUAUGGAAAUUUCUUACUUCUCUGUUGAGGGUUUCAGCGUG